rnacentral:tRNA from 1 species
GGGGCUGUAGCUCAGUGGUAAGAGCGCCGUCCUUAUAAGGCGGGUGUCGUGAGUUCGAUUCUCACCAGCCCUACUA